rnacentral:ncRNA from 2 species
AUAUUUUAUAUCGGGAGCUUGAAAAGGCUGAGAGUAUGAUGUUUUCGUAGACCGAUUGAACCUGUUGGGUAAUGCCAGCGUAGGGAAUGUGAUUAAAUUAUUAC